rnacentral:rRNA from 1 species
AGGGGGCUUCGGCUUCCGGUUGAGGAGGAGUCUAUUUCCUAUUAGCUUGUUGGUGCGGUAACGGCGCACCAAGGCUGUGAUGGGUAGGGGGCCUUAGCGGGUGGCCCUCCACACUGGGACUGAGACACUGCCCAGGUUCCUACGGGAGGCUGCAAUCGAGAAUCCUCCGCAAUGGGCGAAAGCCUGACGGGGUGACGCCGCGUGACCGAUGAAGGCUCUUACGGGUCGUAAAGGUCUUACAGGGAGUAUGAAAUAUACUGGGGCUAAUAUCUCCAGUAUUUGACGUCAAUCUCAAAUGAAGUCACGGCUAAAUUUGUGCCAGCAGCCGCGGUAAGACAAAUGUGGCAAGCGUUGUUCGGAAUCACUGGGCAUAAAGGGCACGUAGGCGGCGUAGUAAGUUAACUGUGAAAUCCCCCGGCUCAACCGGGGAACUGCAGUUAAUACUGCUGUGCUAGAGUGCAGAAGAGGAGAGUGGAAUUCUAGGUGUAGCGGUGGAAUGCGAAGAUAUCUAGGAGAAGGCCGGUGGCGAAAGCGACUCUCUGGUCUGUUACUGACGCUGAGGUGCGAGAGCGCAGGUAGCGAACGGGAUUAGAUACCCCGGUAGUCUGUGCCGUAAACGAUGGGCACUAGAUGGUGGAGGCGCCGAUAGCUUUCUCCGUCGCAGCUAAUACGUUAAGUGCCCCGCCUGGGGAGUAUGGCCGCAAGGUUAAAACUCAAAGGAAUUGACGGGGGCCCACACAAGCGGUGGAGGAUGUGGCUUAAUUCGGGGAUACCCGUAAAACCUUACCGAGGCUUGACAUGCAGGUGGUAGUGAAGUGAAAGCGGAACGACCCGAAUAGGGAGCCUGCACAGGUGCUGUAUGGCUGUCGACAGCUCGUGUCGUGAGAUGUUAGGUUAAGUCCUGUAACGAGCGAAACCCUUGUGCUUAAUUGCCAGCGCGUUAUGGCGGGGACCUUAAGCAGACUGCCCCGGCCAACGGGGAGGAAGGUGGGGAUGACGUCAAGUCAGCAUGGCCUUUAUGCCUCGGGCUGCACACGUCCUACAAUGGGCUGUACAAUGGGGACCCAAACCGCAAGGUGGAGGAAAUCCUAUAAAGCAGUCCUCAGUUCGGAUUGCAGGCUGAAAUUCGCCUGCAUGAAGAUGGAAUC